CAGUGGAAGAAAAGGGAGGGGUUUUAUUCUCAAGCGUCUAAGGAUUUACAAACGAGGGCAUUUUGUUUUAAAAAGGGAUGGGGCAAUACUGGCGGCCUGAGGAGCGGUGGUGGGCCGAUGGGCUAGGCCAGGCCGCCCCAGGCCCCUGGCUGCCCACUCUGCCCUCUGCCUGGUUGAGAGGGGGUGGCUGGUGGCUGGUGACUUCCUGGCUACCCAGAAAGGCCCCUGGCAAGGGAGGGCGGAGGCCAUGCCUACUGGCCCCACACCCUGCCCCUCUCCCCUCACAAAGGGGACUGGAGCAAGAAAAGGUGGCCACCCCCUGGGGCGGGGGACAAAGAUGACUUUGAGUACUUUUUAAA
rnacentral:lncRNA from 1 species